UCUAAAAAUUGUAUCCACAUUGCUUAAGAUUACCACAGAAUUAAUGAACGUUUUUACGUAAAUAACGUUUUCCAAAAAAGGCAUCUGUGUUGUAAAUUGCUUUGGGGUAAGUUGUGCCAGUGGUUUAAUCAACUAACAGUGCAGGAAAUCUAAAUCUAAAAUGCUUGAAAUUAUUUCCCUACAAUCAAAUACUCUUAAUAUUAAAUCCUUUCCAGGCUGUAUUAUGAAAAUGUGCUUUAAUAGUUUUCAGCAUAUUAAUGGGACUUUUGAUGGGACUGUGCAUUAUUUUUUUUUUCUAAUUUGUUAAUUUUUAUUAUUUUUUAUUAUUCUUUAUUUAUUAUAGAAUAUCAUUUUUUUUUUAAAUAAUUGUUCAAAUAUUCCUCAAUUUAACUUAUCCCUUCACAUGACACAGCUUACCUCUAACAUGGGGUUACUUAAAAUUUCUUAAAAAAAUAAAAAUCAAUGAUUGGACAUGGUGAUGACUCAUGUAUGCUCCUAGCAGGGAGGUUUAUUUCACACGCAGCUAUUUUGCAUUGCAUUAACUGUAGUGCCCGAUUGCACAAUAUACUUCGCCUCUGGUUGGAUGUGGUUGGAACUUCACUGGCCUCUGGAAUAUGGCACUUGUCCUCUUGCCGCAGGUGGGCAAAAGGCCCAGCUCCUAAGAUGGCCAAAGUCCACAGCUGUGCCUCAUAUUUUCCAUCUUAAAGUACCUAACCUCACCUCAAUUACACCCUGCGCCCCACACCGAGCCCAGCUGACUGCACUGCCUGACUUACCGGAGGUCUAAAGGCUUCAGAGAGGAUGACAGAAGGCUUUGAGAGUCGAACAGAGUUUGCGUCACAGAAAAGCGGCUGAAAUGUCAUCACACGGCUGCAACGGGCACGCAGUGUUUUCAGUGUUGUCUGGGAAAGCGCAGUGGUGUCUGUGUGGUCAGCUGAAUAGAGGAGAUCAAACAUGUUUUGGAAUGAAUUUUAAUUUUUGGCUGAACUAUCCCUUCAAGGUCAAGAUCUCAGGCUAGAACGCCUAUUAAUGAGAACUUUAUUCACUAACACAGCAAGAAAAAAAGGCUGAGCUUUGCUCAACGGUCACACUUUCCAUCACAGGUGACACCUCACAUCGAGGGCCUCCCAACCUGCCAGAAACAGCAGUAGGGACGCCCACAUAAAGCCUUCCUCCAGUCUAGCCCUGGGCAAAUCAAAGCUCUAUUUUUUUUUUUUUUUUUUUUUUUACACACAGCCCACAGGCACUCGGAGGGCAGCCGCAGACUCACAGAGGGGUCCUCGGUAUGACAGCAACAGUGCGGGCAAGCGGCCAGAACCUUCCGUUCUCCACUUUGAUGUUCAGAGACGAGCGAGCUUCAGGCGCCCGCCAAAACUGCUUGCAUCAUCACAUUCCCCCGCCACAAAAAACGCGCCUCUUCUCUCAGAACCGCACGAUCAAUUAUCAAGCCUGUGUGGAAAAGUCUUCUUUAAAGCCCGUGCGCUCAUGAAUCAGACAGCGCUGAUGCGGAGAUGAAAAAGAGCUUUACUAAUUAGGCCAUGGAUGCUGAGAUUUACAACCUACGUAGUUGCAUCCUGCUCUGAGUGGGAGCCAUCCAAACUCCUGUCUCUGCUGACUGUCAGCUUAUUUGGCUGCUUUAUGGGCGCUUCUGCUGACGGAUAUGAUCAUUCCUGCAUUUCUAUCCAAUUGCCUCAAAAAGGCAGGAUUAAUCACUGGCUAGACCACACAGACACACAACGCACACAAAUCAAAUCACACCAGGCCACUUUGAAGACCAACAGCAUCGCAGAACCAGGGAGAGGCCCCUCUCUCUUAAACCAAGCUCAUUUCUGCAGGUCUAAUGAGAUGUUUUCCUGAAAAAGCUCCCAUGUGAGUCUUACCGAGUCCCGGCGUCAGGCUCCAGAGCAGGAUACGGAGAUGAGAAGCCAAGGGCUCAUUUCUCAGACGAAGAUAGGGCCUCUGCCAAAUCCCUUUGACCUUUGAUGUGUUUGCUCCAGACUUGGACUGUUACGCCAAACUCUCUCUCACACACACAAAUACAAGUAUCUAGAUUCAUUCGGCUGCUAUUUUAAAGUUCUUUAUUCACCUCUCUUCUCUGUUGCCCAUUCAGGGUUCCCACACUUGUUGACUAAUGAAUUGCCAUGAUCUUUUCAUACUAUUAAUCUUAUUAUUUAAUCAUUGGAUUGACAUUUGGUGUAAAUUUGAAAAUGCAGACUGAUUGUAAUUUCAUGGCUGAGAACCAAUAAAUGGCUGAUACUACAGUUGUAUUUUGUAAAAAAAAUAAAAAAAAAAUAAAAAUAAAUAUAUAUAUAUAUAUAUAUAUAUUUUUUUUUUAUAUAUUACUUAUAUUUGUUAUAUAAGUUUUAAAUGCCACAAGUGAAAUUAGGAAUCACAACAUGAUAAAAACAGGAUAUUCAAAAACGGAUAAAAUUUCUGAGAUUUAAUAAAGAUUACAUUUAACAGUGUUACCAAAUUACAAGUGUGUUUUCUUAAAUAAAGUUAGAAUUAGAAGACCGCAAAAGUAAUAUAAAUGCAAAAAUAUGCAGAAAUUAAAUAUCCAAUACCAGCAAACCUGAUAACCACCUGAUAAACCGCACACACACACACACACACACACACACACACACACACACACACACACACACACACACACACACACAAGGCUCAUUGUGAAUGAGGAGAAGUAGCGAACAAACAUUUAACAAUAUAUAUUACAAUUUCAAACAAUAAAAAUGUUGGAAACCACCAUGUUCAUUCAACGUGUUGAGAAAUGAAAACAGGUGAAGUAAUUGUUUUUCCAUACCAAAGGGUCAAAAAUUUUCAUGGUUCUAUGGACUCUCAUGGCCAAUAAAUAAAUAAAUAAAUAAAUAAAUAAAAAUUACAACAAAAAUAACA